GCCUGGGUGGCUCAGUCGGUUAAGUGUCUGACUUCGGCUCAGGUCAUGAACUCUCAGUUCGUGAGUUCAAGCCCCACGUCGGGCU
rnacentral:tRNA from 1 species